rnacentral:lncRNA from 1 species
AUUGUCUCGGGACCGUGAAUCAAAACGGCGGAUCAAAAGUUAAUCGGCGAGCUGUGCAGAAACCAAGAGGGCUGGCCUAGUUUUUUUCGUCAGAGGAAGACGGAGACCCAGACACACCGAUAUCCUGCAAAAAUCGCGUACCUACAAUCGAGACCCUUUGCGAAAAGGUGUUUUUUACCUAGCGAGCUAGAACGAGGGAGGGGGGCCUCGCUUCUUUCCACUCUUCUUCAGGGCCCCCCCGUCCCCCUCAUCAUGUUACGCACGGCCGAAAACCCCGCACCGCUGGUUCCUCCUUGCGUCUCUCUCUACUCGGAGGUCCGGCCUUUCUUCAUUUCUCCUCCCCCUCCAGAUCCCCCCUCCAGAGCGCGUGUCCCCCCGAAGAUAAACAAUUAUCACACAUUGUUACGUUCCUCAUCUUUAUCCAGAUAUGAGUCAUCUUUAACUCGCCUAGCCGAGUAUAAAUACUAUAUUGGGGCUCUUGCCGGCUACAUUGAGUCACUUGCUUACUUCACAACAACACGUGAACACCUAACCUCAAAAUGGCUUACAAAUUCGUCGUUCUCGCCGCUGUAUUCGCUGUCGCUACCGCCCAGUACGGUAGCCCGUCUUACAGCUCAUCCUCCUACAGCUCUGGCUCCUACGGCGCCCCCGCCGCCUACAGCGCACCCGCCUCCUACAGCGCUCCUUCCUACAGCGCCCCCGCCUACAAGCCGGCCUACAGUGCCCCAGCUUACAGCGCCCCAUCAUACAGCUCCUCAUACAGCGCCCCAUCUUACUCUGCCCCAUCUUACUCUGCCCCCUCAUACUCCGCCCCAUCCUACAGCGCCCCCUCUUACAGCGCCCCAGCUUACAAGCCAGCUUACUCUGCCCCCUCAUACUCCGCCCCAUCUUACAAGGGUGGUGAGGCUUACUCUUCCCAGAGCGUGCAGCUGUUGAACAAGCCUUCCGGAUACGGCGCCCCAUCUUACUCCGCCCCCUCAUACUCUGCCCCCUCAUACUCUGCCCCCUCAUACUCUGCCCCAUCUUACUCUGCCCCAUCUUACUCUGCCCCAUCCUACUCUGCCCCCUCUUACUCUUCCCCAUCUUACUCUGCCCCAUCUUACUCAUCCUCCUCCUACUCCGCUCCCGCAGCCCCCCACUACGGUUAGACGACGCUUUCACCUCGUUUUUCCAUGACAUCCAAGAGCCAUGUUCACGGUUAACUUAUUUAUUUCAAAUCAUCAUCUUCCAUCAAAGUCAUUUAACUAUUUAUUUAUGUGAUUCAUUGUUACCAAAUUUUGUUACCAUCAAUAAAUCUGUUAAAACAUACAGGCAUUUGAAUUUU